rnacentral:lncRNA from 1 species
UCCAAGUCUCCAACUUGGAUGAUCUGAAAGAGAAAGAAAAAUUAAGGCUGAAGAGAUUGAGACUUUAGAGGGCUCAAAAGCUAAACAAAAGAUGAACUUACUAGAAAAAAGAUUACAAGCAGUAGAGGAGAUGGAUUUUUAUGGCUCAAUAAAUGCAGUCGACUUUUACUUAGUUCCAAAUGUAGUAAUCCCACCAAAAUUCUAGGUCUCAAAGUUUGAGAAGUAUGAUGAAACAAAGUAUUUGAUAACUCAUGUUAUCAUGUACUAUCGAAAAAUGAUUACUUACACAAGCAAUGAAAAACUAUUAAUACAUGUGUUCUAAUACAGUCUUACUAGUUUUACAGCUAGAUGGUACAUCUAAUUAGAUAAAACUCACAUUACUUUAUGGAAAGAAUUGAUAAAAGCAUUUAUCAUCCAGUACCAACACAUCAUAGAGUUAGCUUCAGACCAUCUUUUUUACAUAACAUAGAGAAAAAGGCUAUAAAAGCUUUUAAAUAAUAUACGUAGAGGUAGAGAGAUAUGACUGUUCAGGUUUAAUCACUUCUUAUUGAGAAAGAAACUACUAUCCUAUUUGUCAGUAUCUUAAAGGCUCCAUAUUACAAAAAAAUAAUAGAAAAUGCCAGCAAGAACUUUGUUGACAUAGUAAUCUUGGCUAAGAUUAUUGAAAAUACCAUAAAGAAUGGAAAGCUAGAAAGAGGAGAGUCAGUCAACAUAAAAAAAAAUGAAAUACCGAGAAAAAAAAAAAUGAAGCGCAAGCUGUGAGCUAUGACAAUCAACACCUUAGAGGUUUUCUUCCAAUACCUACCAUCAAUGUAUCCAAUCCAUUAUCCAUCUGUAAAAAAUGUAGCGUCUUACCUCUAUCAACCAGUUAUGCUAUCUGUUUAUCCAUAUACUUUCCCGUCAACUCAUAACUACAACCCCAUCAUUACACCUGUUAUAAAGUCUAUCCUAAAACCUCAUAAUCAGAACACCAAUUUGAGAGGAUCACAAAAAAAUAAAAAAAGGCUUUUUUUAAUCCCAUUUCUAUGAUAUACAUAGACUUGCUACCAUAGUUAGUGAAAAAUCAUUUGUUGGUCCAUGUUUGUGUUGAAUAAAAAAAACCUCUCUACCCAAAAUGGUAUGAUGCUAAUGCUCAAUGUAACUACGAUUAUGAGAUCACAAGUCACUUAACAAAAAAUUAUGUUGCUUUGAAGCAUAAAGAACAAUGUCUCAUCAAUGAGGGGUUGAUCAAGUUUAGCGAUAAAGAAAGGUCUAGCAAUUCUGAAAUCUGUUUACCCAAUGAUAUAGAGGCAUGAUUUUGAGGAUAUAUUUUAAAACUAUUUGAGGUAAUGAUUUAUGGGGCAGUCUUUUAUGUCUUUAUCGUGUAUUUACCUUGCAUUUCAAUAAAAUGAUAAGUGCAUUUCAUUACAUAUUCUUCUUUUUUUUUUUUAUCCAUACUGUUAUGCAUAUCUCUUUAUAUGUCACUCAUUCUUAAAUUUUAGAUAAUGAAUGUUCAGACAAUUAUGACAAUAAUUUGGGGUUCAAUCUUGAAAAUUUCAUUCAUACUGAUAAGAUUGAUGAUUUAGAUUCAUAUUAUGUUGGGGUGAAUUAAAGUUGACAUGCUAUAAACAGGAGUAAAGUCAUUUUAAAAGAAUAUGGUCCCUUAUAUCCAAAAGUUUGCUUUCAUUUAGUAUAAGUUCUUCAAAGAAAGUAUUCAAGUUUAAGAUGAGAAAUGGUCGUCUUUUUUUUACCUUUUUAAAAAAAAUAAAAAAUAAUAAAACUAUCCAUUUGCUAUCCCUUUUAAGCUUAUUAUAAUUUCUUUGAAAGAAACUCACCAAAAAUCACAUUCCACAUCAGGAGGCAAAGUUUAAAAAAAGAUCUAUUCAUAAGAAAAAAAAUAAGUUAAAAAUCAUUACUGAAGCAUAAAAAAUAAAAAAAAAAAUCUCUUGUGCGGGAAUCCUUAUUAAAAAGAAAAAUUGAAAAGAAAAAAUGAGAUGAAAAAGAGAGAAAAUAUAAAGGCACUUGGUAAAGAAUGGGGUAAAAUGCCAAUGUGCUUUAAGUAAUGAGAGAUGAUCAUUUGGUUUAUACCCUUUCACACAUGUUUUUAAGCCUGUGUUAUCAUUUUUUAUAGCCCUUCACCAUAGCCUCAGUUACAUGCUUUAAAUGUGCAUUUCGAUCAAAUAUGAAUGCUGAAAUUGAAUAAUUAUAUAUUGAACUAGAGCAUGCUUAUGGAUAAUGAGAUUUUAUAUUUUAAAGAUUCAUAUGGAAUUCGAUAGAAUGCUAAUGGAGAAUAAAGCAAAGAAAAAAGUAAAAAAUAAAAAGAAUGAAAAAAUAAAAAAUAAAAAGUGAAAAAGAGAGAAAUGAAAAUGUGGAAAGAGGAAGACUGAAAUUAAAAACCUAAAAGGGUAAUUUAACUAAACAAAAAUAUAUUGGCUAAAAGCAAGCAUUAGACAGCCUAAGAGUAUUCAAGAGUCCAAUAAGCUAGGGGGCAAGAUUUGGAUUUUAAGCCCAAUGAGAUCAAAUGCGUCAAUAAAAUGAGUUUCUAAGAAAGAACUUUGGAUUGGUGUCAAAAAUUGUCUGAAUAUUCAUUAUUUUAAAGGUUCAAAUCCUAUCCAAACACUUAUCCUAGCAAUAUGUUUUGACAUUAUUAACUUGUUUGUGACCCUUUAUUGAAUAUCCUUUUUUUUAAACCACUUUGUUUCUCAUCAUUAUUGCUUUCUCAUAAUAAGAAAAUAUGUGAUGAAUUGCAUUGUUCAUGAAAUUGAAAUUAUGAAAAAUAAACAAGAAAAUACAUAAAAAGAUCUUUACAUUACUUUGAAAAGAAAAUCGAUAGUGACAGGGGCAAAAUGAAGAUAUCAUGAUGAAACAAAUUUGUGAAAAUGUUGAUUCAUCGAACUUUCAAAAGAAAAAAGAGGCAUUUUAAGAAAAGUUCAAGAUAUUUUGAUUAAUAGAAUGGUUGAUAGAAAUUGUGAAGGUAACCAGUCUAGAAGAUUUCUAAGAAUAUUUUUACACAAUUAUGGGUGCAUUUAGUACAUCUCAUGUAUUGCAUUCAUGACAUCUCAUACAUUGCAUUUAUAACAUUCAUUGUAAACAAAAAGCUUGAAUUAGUGAAAGGAUAAGAAUUUUUUAAAGGAUUUAGAACCAACAUGCCUUCGAUUGAGGAAAAUUUUUAAAAGAUAAUCUUUGAUUAAGAAAAAAUAAAACCUUAACUCUUGAUUGAAAAGUUUCAAGAAACAUUCCUCUAUCUCAAAAAAUAAGUAAAAUUUGUCAAUCUUCAAGAUAUAAUCUCAAAGCCUUUCGAAUAUGAUUUAUAAGACCUUCAAGCAUGAUCAUUAAACCUAUGGUUGUUAAUUUCAAAUUCAUUUGAUCUCAUAUUUUGACUUUGGCUUAGUCCAAUCAUUUUUAUUUUGACCUUGGUUUAGUCUAGUCAUUUCCAUCUUCAACCUUGGUUUACUCCGAUCAUUUUCAUCUUCGACUUUGACUCAAUCCAAUCAUUUUUAUCUUUGACAUUGGUUCAACUCAAUCUUUUUCAUUUUUAACCUUAGCUCAAUUUAGUCAUUUUUCAUUUUCGACUUUGGCUUAGAAUGAUCAUUUUUAUUUUCGACCUUAGCUCAAUCCCAUCAUGUUUAUCUUCGACCUUGGUUUAGUCUAAUCAUUUUUAUUUGGAACCUUGGUUCAAUCCAAUCAUUUUCAUUUUCAACUUUGGUUCAGUUCAAUCAUUUUCAUUUUUGACAUUGGCUCAGUUCAUCAUUUUCAUCUUCAACCAUGGUUUAGUCUGAUUAUUUCAUUUUUUACUUUAGUUCAGUUUAGUCAUUUUCAUUUUCAACCUUAGUUCAAUUUGAUAAUUUUUAUCCUUGGUUUAGCCCGGUCACUUUUAUCUUCAACCUUAGCUCAGUCUAAUUAUCUUAAUCAUUCAACCUUUGGCUUAAUCCAAAUUAUAUCAUUUUUUUUCGACUUCGGGUAAGACCAAGUCAUUUUAUUUUUCAACUUUGGCUAAGAUCAAGUCAUUCUAUUUCUGACUUUGGCUAAGAACAAGUUAUCUCAUUUUCUGACUACUGCUAAAUCCAAGUCAUAUUUCUAAUUACGACUUUGCCUGAAUCAUCAGUUCGACUUUUGACUUGAUCUAAGUCAUUUCAUUUUGACCUUUAGCUAGGUCUAAAUAAUUUUAUUUUUGAACCUAAACAUAAUGGAUGUAUAUAUCUUUGCAUAACUUUUGUUAUGUAAAAUAUGUGUAAAAAUGGGCAACUGUAAACACCCCAUUUAGUCUAGGGUUUAAACUAAUUAGGUUCAAUUUAAUAUCAAACACAAAGGCCUAAAAUCAAUUGGGCUCGGGUUUAUCCAAAGUGUAAUACUUCUUUUUUAUGAUUAUUUUUAUUUUUAUUUUAUUUGUCUAUAUAUAUAUUUAUCUGAUUUAUUCUAUCAUUUCUCUUUUAUUAUCUUUUCUUUAUCUAUUAAUUAUCUUUAAUUUAUCUGAUUAUUUCAAAACAAAAAUAAUAAAUAUCAAAAGGAAAAAUCAAAAUAUUGGCUUUGUUUAAUUGAUAAUCCUCAAUUUCAUAUUGCUAAGUUUGAUUUAAUCUGAAAAUUCCCCUAACUUGCGCUAUAAUUACACAAAAUCAAGGAGAGAAGACACGAAUCAAAAAACAAAAUUACUGAGAAAGCAACAGAGAAACACACAACAAUCACUAUAAAACAAGAGGAGAACAAGUAGUCGGUUUAGACACCACCCUCACCUUUCACUACCAUCCCACUACCAUCUCUAGUCAGGGAAACUAAAGGCCAAACACUACCAUUCUUUUUUCCAUUUUAGUUUUUUUCAUGAUAGAAAGUGUAGAAGAAACCACAUACAAUCGACCUACAUAGAAUUCCUUAAAUACAACAAGUUCCAAUCUUUCAACUAACGAGAUUCAGUCAUAAUAUGCAUAUACAAUAGAAAAAGGCAAAUGAAAAUUUCCUAUUUCAAUAGACUUGAAACAUUUUGAAUCAAACCUUCUUGCCAUACUGCUCUUCAAGCUAUUCAUCAUGCAUCAUCACUAACAACACGCAAAAUAGCCCCUAAUAAGCACACAAAGGUGAAGUCAGUACAAGCCAAAAAACCCAAGACCAAAAACUAUUAAAGAGACAGUCGAGCUUAACUCUUUGCAAAAGCCAAAAAACACCAUAAAUUACACAGAAAGCAAACAUAAAGCAUCAAUAAAUCAAUAGCUUUCAAAACAUAAAAGCAUCAAGAAACCAAAUAUACGAUCAGAUCAGGGGUCUUGAGUUUAGGAUUUUUUAGAAACUUCUAAUAGUUCAUGGAGAUGGGAAAAACAACAAGGAAGAAAACAGAAUGCCAAUGACAGAAGUGACAGCAACAAUGAUGGUAUUUGGGUGGUCGAUGACAGCCGUUGGGAUUUUUUAUGAUCAAAUCUUACGAGAAAAAAGAGUGCUGUAAGGACAACAACAUACUAAAAAAUCACAUGAUCAGACGGUGCAAAGAGGCUGAAACAGUGAAGGAAAGUCAUGGCUUGUAGUUUUAGAUCUGGGGCAUUUAAGGAGGAUUUUUGAAAACCCUAGCCUAUAUCCGAGACAAGGAAGCGAUGAUAAAAUUUUGGGCUGCAUUGGUGACCCGACGGCAACGGUGCGUUACGGCUGACAAUGCUACUGAUCGAAAUCUGAAAAAUAGGAUUAUUGUUUAUCUAUUCCUGUAGAGAGAGAGAUGAGAAUAAAAUAGAGAAGCUGGGCAGAAGAAAUGAAAGAAUAAGCAAAGUUUUACUUUUUAUAGCAGC